rnacentral:lncRNA from 1 species
CCCAGCCUGGGUGUUUCAUGUAAAUGGAAUCAUACAAUAUACUGUAUGACCUUUUGUGUCUGGCUUUCACUUAGCAUAUGUUCGAGGUUCAUCUGUGUUUUGGCAUGUAUCAGCAUCUUAUUUCUUUUUAUGGCUGAAUAAUAUUCCGUUGUAUGGAUAUACCACAUUUUGCUUAUUCAUUCAGCCACUGAUGGACAUUUGGGUUGUUUCUACCUUUUAGCUACUGUGAAUAGUGCUGCUAUCAGCAUUUGUGUGUAAAUAUUUGAAUACUUGUUUUUAGUUCUUUUGUUUUUUGUUUGUUUUGAGACAGUCUCAGUCUGUCACUCAGGUUGGAGUGCAGUGGUGCCAUCUUGGCUCACUGCAACCUCUGCCUCCCAGGCUCAUGCAGAGAAUGGCGUGAACCCGGGAGGCUGAGCUUGCAGUGAGCCGAGAUGGCGCCUCUGCACUCCAGCCUGGGCAACAGAGCGAGACUCCAUCUCAAAAAAAAAAAAAAAAAAAAAUUAGCUGGGCAUGGUGGCAUGUGCCUGUAAUCCCAGCUACUGAGGAGGCUGAGUCAGGAGAAUCGCUUGAACCUGAGAGUCGGAGGUUGCAGUGAGCCGAGAUCGCGCCACUGCACUUCAUCCAGCCUGCUGACAGGGUGAGACUCUCUC